CAGAGGGGGCAAGCGUUGUUCGGAAUCAUUGGGCGUAAAGGGCGCGUAGGUGGCCCGGUCAGUUCGUGGUGAAAGCGCGGGGCUCAACUCCGCGUCGGCCAUGAAUACUGCUGGGCUUGAGCACUGUAGAGGCAGGCGGAAUUCCGGGUGUAGCGGUGGAAUGCGUAGAGAUCCGGAAGAACACCGGUGGCGAAGGCGGCCUGCUGGGCAGUGGCUGACACUGAGGCGCGACAGCGUGGGGGAGCAAACAGGAUUAGAUACCCUGGUAGUCCACGCCGUAAACGAUGGGCACUAGGCGCUUGGGGGAGCGACCCUCCGAGGGCCGGCGCUAACGCAUUAAGUGCCCCGCCUGGGGAGUACGACCGCAAGGUUG
rnacentral:rRNA from 1 species